CCGGGUAUAAACCAGGUCAACAUAGACCGCAUCAACUCACUGCUCGCAGAGGUGAUGUUGAGGGUAGACGGAAUGAAGGUCCCCUUGCGGAAAAAGCAAGAGGAGGAGGAGCUAAUCAAGGAGCUCACGGCUGCUGCUGAUACGGCUAACAAGAAGGCAGCCGACUUUGAACUCCAAGUCAAAAACCUCCAAGCUGAUGUCAAAGCCUUGGGGGAUGCUGACAAGGAGAACACUUAGCUGCGGGCUGAGGUCAACCGGCUGAAGAAUGAGCUGGCCCAGACCCAGGCG